UGAAGAUAAUAGCAAUUGAAUCUGGGACCUUCUCUAUGCAAAACAGGUGACCCACCACUGAGCUAUGGCCCCGUGUUGCAUUAUUUGCAAGCGUAUCCCAGGCAGCUGGGAGAACUUCUAAAUAAUUCAUACCUUGUGGACAGGGCCAGUCAUCCAGGUCUUUCCCACAGAAUCAGCAGACAAAUGAUCUAACCACUUGAAUGGGCUGAUGACACAGAGUUGUCUUUGACAUGAUGCUCAUUCCAUAGGAAAGAUGCAUUCAGUCAGCUUAGUUCAGGUGGUUGGGUCAUUUCAAUGAGGCUUCCAGAAAUGUCAGGUUUGACACGGAUAAGCAGCUCCUGCAUAUCUGAGAAUGUAUUUUAAGAGUAAUAUGCAUGAAGCAACUUUGUGUUACUCAUUUGUAUUUACUUAAUUCUACUGCUGAUCUGAAGGUUCUCUAGUGAGAAUUUUUGGCUCGAAUUAUUGGGGGAAAGAGGUCAGGAGACAAAAGCAGUCUCUUUCUUGCUGGCUUAGCUCCCCUCUACCAUGUACUAGUAUGUGUGUUUCUUUCGGAUGUCGACUUGACAACUUUUUAAACUGUUCCUGUCCUUCUGCAAGCUGACUUUUUCCUGCUUAAAAGCUUUACAAUGUCUCUACUGCCAACUGUAUGUGUAGAAUUUUGCUACUAAAGGAAUGACAUACCUAACAUAGAGUAGUUUCAUACUUGUUUUAUGGUCUUGUCAUGUGACAUAACUUACAAUGAUGUUACCUUAGCCAGAAGAGUAAUGUCAGGAAGAUUGAAUUGGGAUCCACGCCUAGAACCUGGCACUGUCAGGCGUUCAGGGCACUUGCUAGCAGAGCCAUUGCAACUCAGUGCCUGCUCUAAUAAGCCCUUGAGUGGACAUACUCUGAUUGGCCAAUUGCAAGAUGCAUCCAUAAUAGCGCCCAUGGAGCAAUAUCUUGCUUGGAGAUGUUCCUACAGGGUCCAGCUCAAUAUUCCUGCCUCCUGCUUUUUGAAUCUUCCCAUGCUUACCCUCCAGCUUUGGUAAAACCUUCCGGUAAUUAUUUGUGGUCUCGUCUGGUGCUUGCUCUCCAUCGAUUUGGUAUCUGCUGGUGCACCAGCCAUGAAUCCAGCAUUUCCCCAGCUUACUCUCUUGAGGAGGUUGCUUAUGUUCCUGGCCAACCUAACACACAGAUGCUGCGCUUGUUGGUUCUGGAUGGUCAGGGUGGUUCCCCCCCCCCCCCGAUUCCCCAACUUUUUUUUGACUGCUUGCAUGUAUCCGGGUUGAGGUAGUAGGUUGUAUGGUUUAGAAUUACACCAAGGGAGAUAACUGUACAACCUCCUAGCUUUCCUUGGGUCUUGCACAAAACAGCGAGCGUGGUGAAAAGGCUGUGAUCCUUGGAGAACAUUUUGCUCUGCACACACAAAUUAAGAAGUGAAAGGUAAGGUUUGUUUUGUGAUUUUUAAAAAUAUAUAUAUAUAGAAAACCAAGUGGGAUUUUCAUUAACAAGGUCUUCCCACAACAAAAAUAAAUCCGUAUGAUGGGUGGGCAACAUGCACCCAACAGGCUUCUGGGGGCAGUUCAUAUAGCCCAGAGACUCUUGUUAGAAAAAACCUAGACAUUUCAGUUUAGUGUUUUUGUUGUUGUUUUAAAUCAAACUUCUAGUUGUUACUCCAAUGAAAUACCUGGCUUCAUCUAGUGUACUGGAGAGUAUGACCCUUUUCUUUGGUUUUUUACUGUCACUGGUUGCUGGACCAUUUCUGGGCUCAGUUCAAAAUGCUGGUUAUCACAUUUAAAACUCUAAGUGAUUUUGAAUGAGAAUAUCUGAAGGGCCACUUUCUCACAUACUAUCUUAUCUCCACUCUAAGAUCAACUAGGGAAGACCCGUUUGUGCAUCCCACUUCUAUUGGAGGUCCAGUUGAUGAAGUUGUGUGGAAGGACAUUCUCCUUUUCAGUUCCCAGGUUAUGGAACUCCCUGUCCUGGGAAAUCUGUCUGGACGACCAUUUCCCCCCACAAUGCUCUUGAAUGAUCCUGCACCUAGGAAAUGGUGGUAGGGAAGUAACAGCUACCAGCAGCCGUGCCCAGUUCUUCCUACUCCAUCAAGUCAUAGACCUCCAGUGGAACAUGUAAUAUGGUCCCUCAGUCUUACACGUGAGAGAGACUUGGCGCCCUUUCCAGCAUGUUGAUACAAGUUUCCUUGGUUCAUGGUAGUAUCUCAGAAGUAUGACAUACCCAUUGCCUAAUGGUAGGCAACUUUUGUGUUAAUGCAAAUUCCGUUGUAUGCGGAGAGUGCAGCACAAGUUAAAGGUGAGCCUCUGGCUUUCAAUACCUUUUCAAGGUGUCCCUCAAAGUUGAAUGUGUUAUCUCUCCUGGCUUUAGCACAUUCAGCAGUCCAAUCACACGCAUUUCCCUCAGCAGGUUUAAAAGCUACACAUUCAAUAGGGCACCUGGACCGCAUAAUGUCUGUUUUGAUUGUGGCUGCAAUUUGGAAAUUACUUAGGAGCAUGAGCAUCCAUGUCCUGCAUUACGACUCUGGUUUUUUGUUUUGCACCUGGACCCAGUGAAGAUGUGAGACACCAGUGAUGGAGUAAAAUGGGCCACAAAUUAUCGAUUAACAUUUGAUAAACGGAAGAGGAGUGGCACUCCACCUCCUACAGUGUGGAAGCUAAAUACUUGCUGCUGCCACAUGAAUCAAACCUGAACGCAUAGGGCAGCACACCUUGGCUCCAGGCAGCAUAAACCCUAGGGCCAAUUGCUGCCCAUCUUAGCGCAUCUAAUGUGAAGGCAUCUGCCUCAGGAUUCACCAUCCCCAAGCUGCCAAGCCUUUAAGGCUGGUGAUUCCAUAACAGGUUGGAGUAAUUCUUCUUCCAACGUUCCCUGAGCCACAAAGAUUCUAGGGAGUGGCAAAGACUCCUCCCUACGCCAAAUGCGUGCCUGAAGGUGCUCACCAACCCUCAAAUACCCAUGUAAACUGCACUGCUCCUGCUGUUGUGACAAGGAAACCUAACUGGUCCUAACAAUGGCCGAUUGUGCGAGGUAGGCAAAACUGGCUUCUGGCCAAGGCCAAUCUGCCAGAAGUCCAAAAAAUUCCUACCCAUCUCCCCAAAGGACAAGUUAAAGCCCACACUAUGGUCAGGGAUGGUCAGGAGGGGUUGCUUCUUUGCCAAAGACUGACGGAACUGGACCACAUCCCAGCAAUGGCCGCACAAGCCCCACCCCCACAGGCCCACCCGCCAGUGGCUGGCUCCAUAGUGCCUCAUGCCUCACUCAGAGGCUGGGGCAAAGAGCCUGCCCCCCAGACGAAUUGGGGGAGGGUACAACCAAGUUCUGCACAUAUGUUUUGCUCACUGCUUUUAUUUUUUUGAACCCUGAAGAUUAUAGAGUUUGGAGAAAAAUAAUAAUAAAGGGACACAAAGAUAGGGGUGAAAUAUUUUAACUUUUUAUCAAAGUACAUCCCUGCAUUUAAUAACAAUAAAAAUCCCACAACUCUUUUUGCCUAGAAAACUAGAUGCCCAAGAGAAGGUUAGGCUGGAGUUCUCCUCCCUGCUAUGUUAACUUUCUGUGGAAUGGACAGUUUUGAUGUGGAGGUGCACUUAAUCAUGCAAUCUCUCACCUGAAUUAUGAGGUAGGAACGUCCAAGCUGGGGGGUUGCCUUGAAUGCUUUUCCUGAAUGUGUUCAUCACACAGGGCUUAUUGGUAAUACUCCUCUACUUCUAAGGAAACUUUUAACUUGUUUAAUUAAUUUGGUUUAUUUUAUUAGUUUUAUUUUACAUUGUAUCUAUUUUAUUGUUCUGAGCCACCCUGAGCAGUAGUGUACUGGAGGGGCGGAAUAUAAAUAUUUUAAAUGAAUAAGGAAAUGAAGCUGUACUCAUUCCCAUGGGGCUCAACCAGCAGUGUCAAGCGUUGGGAUCAAGGGUGCAGUCUCAGCACUUCCAUUUUCUGCAGUUUCUGUAGAUGUGCAAAGGGCUUCAGUUUCAUUGAUCUACCCCUUGUCCACUUGGCUGUCAUAGAACUGAGGGGGCAAAGUACAAACUUCUCAGGGGCGACUUUCUGCAUUGCUUGGAAGUCUCCUGGAGAAAAAGGAUAUGUGUUGCAAGGAUCCCAGAGGCAAGCUGCCAACUAGAUGUACCCUACAAUUGGAUAAUGCUUUUGAAAUAUGUGACGAGAGGCUGCCAAUGUGUUUAAGUUAUAUAACUUGCAAUAACAAAGCAUGUGCUUCGACUCCAUUAUGUCUUCAAAAGGAAUAUGGGUAUCAUAACUCUGUAAUCUCUUAAGAGCUGGCAUUUGCACUCUAUUAAAGUUGAUCUUGGAACGUGCAUUUUAUUAUGUUUAAAACACAUAUUAUUAUUUAUUUAUUAUUUAUUUAACACACUUCUAUACCGCCCAAAACUCACGUCUCUGGGUGGUUUAUAACAAACAAACAAAAAGCUAAAACAUUAGCUAAAAUAAAUGACAACAAAAAACUUAACAGUAAUUAAAACAAAAUAAAUGACAUAGUAAAGUUAAAACAUUACAAUUUAAAUUUUUAAAACAACAUUUUAAAAUGAUGCUAAAACUGUUAAAACAAUAAAUAAUUAAAAGCCUGCGUGAAUAGGUGCAUGAAUAGGUGCAUGAACAUAUGACUAGUUCACAUUUAGGAACUAGGCUUAAAACAUUUUAAUGGGCUCCUCUUCUAUCCAACCUUUUGAUCUUUAUUGAAAGUAGAGGAGGAGACAUUCUCAGGUGGGCAAAUUCCAUUAACUUGGGGGAUUAACUUUCAAUCUACACCACCUGGGCAUCUGGUCUAGCCUCUUGCUUUCUCCAUUUGCUUGCUUCUUAUAUCUCUAAUCGAUGGAAUGGUAGACUUUAUGUGUAUGUAGAUAUUUUGCUAUAUCCAAUGCAGGCUGGUAGGAAAUCAAGCUAAUGCUGUCAAAAGUUCCUUAAUUGUAAACUACUGAACAGAUAAUGGAAGCCUGAAAAUGAUGAGAGCAUUGUGUGUAUUGUGUGACGGCUAUGAGGAUUUCAUGAGUGAAAAUGACACUAGCAAUACAAGGUGGCUAUUUAGUAAUUUCAGAAAAAGAGCAUCCCUGAUAAGAAUAUUGGACUGUUGAUUAAUUAAAGCAUUCCUAAUAUAUCCUCAUGUGCCCUUCUAUCGUAUGUCCUCCAUAUGUCCUCCUGUCGUAUAUUUUCCAUAUGUCUUGCUAGUUAAUUAGUCUUCCAUCAUAUGGCUUCCAUCACAUUAAUUAGAUUUCUGGAGCAUGUGCCAGUGUUGCAAGUGUGGACUUUUUGCAGUGGGCACAGGAACAGCCACUCCAUACCUUUCAGCCUUUGAGCAACAGAACACAAGAAGAAGAAACAGAAGGAAAACAGAGUGAUGGGAUCUGGGAGGAUCUCCCCAAACUUCUCACAUCUUGGAGAGUGCAGAGAUGAAAAAACAUCUACUUGAUAUCCCCUGAAGAAGAGCCACUUAGCUUGAUACAUGUCAGGAUCUGAUAUUUCCUAUUAAUGAUACCUUUGAAAAAUCUUCUCAUCUUUCGUCAUGAAAUUCUGAAAUUUGAGAUGGGCUUCAUUGAUUCAUUCAAAGUGGAAAAGAAGAUUCAUUAACUCCUGAGGAGAUUUCCCUGCAACACCUCCGUUCAGGAGUGCCCACGAACAAGCCCACUCCUCCUUCUAUGCAACAUCCCUUCAAGCAUUUGAAGACUGCUAUCAUAACCCCCUUGGUCUUCUCUUCUCCAGGGGUCAUCUCUUUCGAGUUCUGUGGACACCCCAUUCUCAUGAAAAAUGGUAAGUCUGACAGUUAGUCCUCUGUCUGGUACUCACUGGAAGGCUUUUCACUUGAUUGAUUGUGUGGCUUUUAACUAAUUAAUUGACCAAUUAAAUGCAAAAUUUGCAAAAGCUCCAUUAAAGUGUAUUGAGGAUUCUGGAGGAAAGUGACUGCUUAAGUAUAAGGUAGUCUCCCUUUUUUUUUUUUUUUUUGGAAGAACCUACCACUUAUUGCUCAAAAGUAGGAACAUACCCUGCAGUAAACACCCUAAUAAAUAAUAAAUGUUUAUUAAUAUUCACUGAAUUUAUAUCCCACUCUUGCUCCAAGGAGCCCAGAGUAGGGUACAUUGUUCUGUUUACCGUCACAACAACCCCUGUGAGAUACAGUAGGUUAAAGGUAAAGUGUGCCGUCAAGUUGAUUUCGACUCCCAGCACCCACAGAGCCCUGUGGUUGUCUUUGGUAGAAUACAGGAGGGGGUUACCGUUGCCUCCUCCCAUGCAGUAUGAAAUUAUGAUGCCUUUCAGCAUCUUCCUAUAUUGCUGCUGCCAGAUAUAGGUGUUUCCCAUAGUCUGGGAAACAUACCAGCAGGGAUUCGAACCGGCAACCUUCUGAUUGUUUGUCAAGCAUUUCCCUACUACGCUACUACAGACUGUCCCAGAGUCGCCCAGUGAGUCUCAUGACUGAAUGCAGAUUUGAACUCUGGUCUCCCUGGUCCUAGUCCAACACUCUAACCACCCCAUCCACAUUGCUUUCACUUUUAGAUGCUUUCCUUGCUGUAUAAGAGCCACAUGUGCACAAGCAGUCGCUGCAGAACUGGGGAGUGGGAGGACAUAAAUGACUCAACCAUGAGGCAGAGACUGAUCCGAUGGGUCUCCCCAGGUCUUUUGCACCACAAUGGGAGAAAGGAAGCAGAUUCCAUUGACACAAAUUUUCCCCAUUUAACUGUUCAUACAGGACUUGCAGAAGUUUGUCAUAGAUCAGCACUUGCCAUGCUGCUGGGAGAAUUUGAAAAGGGCACUGUAGUAAAUAAAUGUGUUAAAAUAAAGAAGUUCAAGGUCCAGCAGUAUGGUGGAUGCCCCAGAUAAAAAAAGAUGUACUGCUGUUAAUUUCAGUUGAGCACUAUGUGUUUUGGCUAACCAUAGUUCCUACAGUGAAGGGGGAAAAAAGCCACUGCAAUUUCACCCUAAAAAACGACCAUUAGAAACAUAAGAAGCUGUCUUAGUAAGGCCCUUGGUCCUUGUUAGCUCAGUAUUGUCUAUACCAGAGCUGCUCAACUUCGGCCCUCCUGCAGAUGUUGGCCUACAACUCCCACAAUCCCUGGCUAUUGGCCACUGUGGCUGGGGGUUAUGGGAGCAGUGGUCCAAAAUCAGCUAGCGGGGGCGGGGGGCUAGGUUGAGCAGGCCUGGUCUUCACUGACUGGCAGCAGAUCUCCAAGGUUUCAGGCAGGAGCCUUGCCCUGCCCUACCUGGAGAUGCUGCCAGGGAGUGAACCCGGGACCUUCUGCACGCAAAGCAGAUGGUCUUCCAUUGAACUAAGGUCCCAUCCCCUAAGGGGAAUAUCUUACAUAGAUAUUGCUAUGAGAUAGUGCUCUCAUGUAGUCCCCCAUACAAAUGCAAACCAUGGCAGAUUGUUCCCCAAGGGGACAAUGCCCAAGUCUGGACAUUAAUGCUUGCUACACAAGACUAGCUCUCCUUCUUAAAGUGUUAGCUUUAGGGACAAAUUAGAUUAUUUUAUCGCCAUAUCUAGGAGGUUGCCAGUGUAUCUAUGUGGCAAGUGAUAGCCUUAAAUCAUGGGCAACAUCACUUACCAUUUGUGAUGGGCCUACAGUGCUGUUUUGUCCUUGUUUGUGUGCACAGAGUUGCUUCACGCCAUGGACAUUUUUCCUUCCCACAUGACCUCCUAAGGGGGUCGGUUAAAAAGGUACAAGGAAAGGAGAGAAUCUUCAUUACAUUUCAGCCCACAACAAUACUAUUUUCUGCAAGGGAAAAAACUGAAGAUGAUUUCAAGGCAACUGACUUAAUAUUGCUUACCAUUCCACAAGCAGACUAGUCCGCAAAGAGUAGUAAUUCCAGAGUGUUAAAAUGUAAAGUAAAGUGUGCCAUCAAGUCGAUUUCGACUCCUGGUGCGCCCACAGAGCCCUGUGGUUUUCUUUGGUAGAAUACAGGAGGGGUUGACCAUCGCCUCCUCCUGCUCAGUCUGCAUCUUCCUAUAUUGCUGCUGCCUGGCCGAUAUAAUACCAGUGGGGAUUCAAACCGGCAACCUUCUGCUUGUUAGUCAAGCAUUUCCCCACUGUGCCACUUAAAAUGUAUACCAGGCGAAAUCUGUGCACACUAUAUUUUUGGAACCACAUUCAUCCUUUGAGUUUUAAAAAAUGACAUUGUAAACCAGGGCUGGCAUUGUUGAUAGGCAAUGGCAGGCAGCUACUGGGGGGUUCAAUAUCCUCAGGAGGGCCCACUGAUGAUCCCCCAGACCACCCUUAUGCCCAUAGCCUUCUUUUCAUGGCGGCAGAAGCACACUUGGGGCCCAUCUGGGUAGGGUGGCCCCCAGGGGCAUAGCUAGGUGAGAGGGGGCCCGUGUUCAUCCCUCUCUCUGGAAGCCCCCCAGAGUGAGGGAGAUAAUGAAGAAAUUAGGGAGGGCUGGAGCUGGAGGGCCUCAGGAGCUGGGGGCUCGUGUUCUUUGAACCCUUUCGCUCAAUUAUAGCUACGCCCCUGGUGGCCCCAAGAAACCAGGAGCUGGCCUUGCUUAACACACACACACACACACACACACACACACACACACACACACCCCCUCAGCUUUCGUAGUUUCAGCACACAUUUAAAAAAAAAUGGGGGGUGGGUGGGUAGUAAGAGAACAUUCCAGUUUUAUAGAGGUGGGGUCUUUGUAAGCACUUUCCCUAAGCGCCCCUCUGGAGAUGUAGUUACAGUAUAUUCAGGGCAAGUCUCAUAAAUCAAGAAAAUCGUUGGAAUAACCUGGAAGCCUGCCAGGGCUGAAAGCCCAUCAAGCGAAAUUCUUUCCUUGUUCAAGGGAGGGGGGGAAAUCAGAGUUAAAAGGACAGAAUGAAACUACUACGGUUCUUUGCCUAAUUUAGAUUUAAGCUUCCUUUUGUUACAUUGAGUGUGAGGAAGGUGGCUGUAUUUUGGUUAAUACAGAAGCAAAACUGUACUUUUUCGUGACAGAACCCCCCUUCCUGGGCCUCCCAUCUGCCUGCCAGAUUCUGUUUCAGGACCAGCGCCACAGCUGUCCACAGCUGUAAGUUUCCCAGCUCCACACAACUGGCUUUUUCACUCAGAAAUGGUGUGUGUGCGCUUCAAAAAAGUAUUUUCUCAAGCAGAUUGCUAAAGUCCAGUGCCAUGUAAAAGCUUGCGCUUCAGGCAGGAUUACCAUUUUGUCGUGUGGUUACAGGGCUUUAGCUUCCUUUCCCUCCUAUAUCAUUUAUACCCUCCAAACUAAAGGACAGCCUGGUAAGACUUUUACCUCAGUAUUUUCCCCCAAGAAAGAACCCCUCUCUUUCCUCAACUCAAUUUCUCUAAAACGCCAGACAACAUAAGAAGGACCCCCUCUUUAUUUAUUAUUUACUAUUUAAAUUUGUAUACCACCCUUUGUUCUCAGAUCCCAGGGCAGUAAACAAUAACAGAAUUUCAGUAAACACAUCUUCAAAACCAAACAGACACAGCUACAAACACUAAAAGAAGAGCCCCAACUUAGUUUUUUUUAGAAUGCCAGACAAUAAUUUUACCUCAAUAUUUCCCAAGAAAGAUUCCCUUUCUACCACCCGAUUGAGGCAGACAUACUGAAGAGAAUUAUUCAAACCUCCCUGAGCCAUUUUGGAGGGGCGGUACACAAAUCAAUUCAAAUCAAAUCAAAUAAAUACAUACAUACAUAAUAAAGUUAAGGAAUUCUUAACUUGUCCUUUUAAUUUCAGUGAGACUGCAUUGAGUAACAGUAUGCCAGCCAGCAUCUCCAGAAAUUCUUUACCUUCCUUCCCCAACCCAAUUAUGUUUUACUUUCUUGAAUCCUUCACACUCUUGGUUAAAACAAACACCCUGUUUGCAAAUGGUAUGAGCACAUUUCACCUCAGCAUUUCCCAAAAAGGGAAAUCCAACAUAUCUCCAUUAUUUCUAAGAAACAAAAAAAAACAUACUUAUAGAGCAAAAAGAAGAAGGAGGCAAUCCUAAAGAGACUGGAUACCAAAUAUCCUGCCACUAUGGACAUUUUCUAUAUUUGGUGUAUAGAAACUCCCCACUGCCAAUGACUUAUUUAAGGCUCCUGCUUCUGUGGGUGUCAUGUGAAUAUAUAUGGACAUACAUACACUCUUUUCUAUUCUCACUUCACAAAAUGCUCAGUUAAAACCUGCUGGGUCCAGUCCUGAGUGGCUGACUUGCUGAGGAAAAUUGCUCAGAGUAGACCCAUUGAAAUUAAGAGCGCAAGUUAGGCACAGUCCUUUUCAUUCAUUCAUUCAUUCGAUUUCUAUACCGCCUUUCCAAAAAUGGCUCAGGCCGGUUUACACAGAGAAAUAAUAAAUAAAUAAGAUGGAUCCCUGUCCCCAAAGGGCUCACAAUCUAAAAACAAUCUUUUCAUUUCAAUGAGACUCCUCUGAGUAAUUUCCCGCAUUCUCCUGUCAGCACGGUCCUCUGCUUUCUCACUUGAGACAGUGGUUCUAUCCCUAUACCUCUGUAGUGGGCCCAAAGCCAUAGUAACCCCAAUGGGCUACCUGGAGUAUAAAACAAAACCGCACUUUAUUUCCAGCGCCACAGCUGGACUGGACAUGAAGGAAUCUGUAUUUCAGAAUAUUCCAGCCACACAGUCAUGGCAGAGAAAAUUCUAUACCUCCAUGGUGUUGGGCACUUGUAAAAUAUAACCCCUCAGGCCGAGGACUCCAUGCAAUCACAAAUCUAUCAUUAAUAUAGUCUCCCUUUCCCCUCCUGGAUCCAAAUACCUGGCAUAUCACUUCACAUGGACAAGGCAGCCCAGAAUUUGACUCCUGAGCAGCCCACCUGUUAUCAAUUAUUUUUUAUUCAAUUAAGGUUGGCAGCUUAUAGCAUACAUACCAUAAUAGGGCCUACCAGAACACAGUGAUCAAAGGGGGCCCCUGAAUUUUCAAACGUUGCAUUAUUAUAAGCCCCAACUGAAUGUCUUUUGAGUGGCAAGCUUCCCAUCUCAUCACUGAACUCUUCUAGGAGUUCUAAGAAUACAGCUGUUCAGAAUUAUCUGUAAAAAUAUUGUUGAUACAUACCCCCAAAUCUACCAGGAUUCCUGUGCCAUCUAGAAGUCAAGUGUGCAAAAGAUCUGUAGUCAGGUGGUGUCAAUGCAAUCAUUUUUCAGGCUGGAACUCAAUCUAAAUAAGAUGGAGGUGCUGUUGGUCAAGGGUGAAUUGGGAGAAGUUGUAGAUUUCUAUUCUGUUCUAGAUGAAAUUACAUUUCCCCUGAAAAAGCAGGGAUGCAGCUUUGGGCUGGUCUUUGAUCUGAUUCAUCUUCUAACCAGAGUCUGGUUAGCCAGACAGUGAUGGUGACACUGGCAAGGUGUGCCUUCCCCAGAUGGUAGCUCAGGCAUCAUCUGUGAUCUUUCCCGGAGAAAGCAGAUUUAGCUGCAAUUGAUUUCACCUGAUGAUACUUCUAGGCUUGAUUACAGCAGUGCUCUCGUAGGGCUGCCUUUAAAGACCAUCUGGAAACUUCAAGCUGUCCAAAGUAUCAAAGAUAGGAGUAUAUAAUUCUGGUCUUGCACCAUCUUACUGGUUGUCUGCUUGUUUCCAGGCUCAAUUUAACUGCUGAUUUUAGCCUUUAAGCACCUAAAUGAUUUGGGAGCAGAAUACCUCUGGAACCAUCGGCUCCCACAUGAAGCCGAUCACCACAGAUUGGCCAGAGAAGGUCUCUGUUCCACCCUUGUAUGACAUCAGGCACACAAGACGGAUCUUUCUCAGCGGUGAGAUAAUGGAAUACCUUCUCUGCAGAGAUCACCCUACCCCAUCAAUGGGCAUAUUUAGAUAUAUUUUAGAGAUGUCUAUGCCUUUAACAAACAAUUUGUGUCAUUUUCUAUUUGAAAAGGUGUGCAUCUUGUUGCUAAUUGUUGGUGCCAUGGAGUGCAGGAACCAGGCAGGAAACGGUCAGUGCUGGGAGAUUUGUGGAAGGAAGGAAAAAAAAUAUUCAUGGUAGCUUUUCAAAAUGGAUGCUCUCCUGGCUUCCUGAUCCAUUGACUGUGAGUGUGUAAAGCAAAGGAAAAGACCGGGACAGCCUGCUGUCUUAACACUUAUUAACAACUGAUUCAAUUAAAGAUUCAGUUUGAUCUCUUGUAAGAUGCACACUGUACUUCCCCCACUCAAACAAUGUAAGAAAAGAGAACCGUUAUGAAAGAUUAAAGGCCAGAAUGAUUAAAGAUUAAAGAGCAGUUCCAGAUGACAAAAACAAAACACAAAAAAACACAAUUUGAUUCAUGCUAGAGUUAUGGUAGCCCUGGGCCACCUCCCAUACCAUGAUAUCUUACCCCCAUAUUAUGUGGCAGGGUUUCUUCACUGGGAUCCUAAAAAGGUUUAGACAAAUUAAUAGAACAAGGCUGUAGAACUUUGGCCCUCCAGCUGUUGUCUGACUACAACUCCCAUCAUCCCCAGCCACUGUGGCUGGGGUUGAUGGGAGUUGUAGUCCAACAACAUCUGGGGGGGCUGGAGUCAUGCAGUCCUGUCACAGAGAUAGUUUUUCAGUUAUUAUUACCAUGAUGGGUAAAUGAGGCCUCCAUGCUCAGAGGUGGUAUAUCUGAGUAACAGAUUCCAGGGAGAGAUGAACAUCACCUUCAGACUCUGAAGUUGGCACAGUUUCUGUUCUAGAGACAUCAGCUGGAAAAAGAAUGCUGGACUAGAACCUUUGGUCUUGUAUAACUGAGCUGUUCAUAUGUUCCUAAGCUAAUCAGAUCUAAAUAUGAAGGUAUCUUAGGAAGGAGCUCGAAUCCAUCUGGAUCAAAUUUAAACCCUUGGAAGCAGUGUCCUCCUGUAACAGAGAUUAUCGUUGUUGACUACAACUCCCAUAAUCCCCAGCUGCAAUGGACUUUGGCUGGGGAUAUGGGAGUUAUAAUCAACAACCUCUGGAAAUCAAUGUUACAGAGAGCAUUGCAUGGAAGCUGAGAAUACUUUAAGUCCAUAACAAUCUAAGAAGAGCUAAGCUGGACCAAAGGUCAAUCUCACCAGCAUCCUGCUUCCCACAGUGGCCAACUAGAUCUCUAGUUAGCCUGCAAGUAGCGUCUGAAGGCAAAAACCCAUUCCUGUUGUUGGUCCUCAGCAAGUAAUCAGAGGUAGGCAGUACCUGAAGAUGGAGGUUCCUUUUAUCCAUUCUGCUUAACAGCCAGUGAUGAAUUCACAGAGAAUAGGUCUAUUCCCCGUUGAGUCAUAUCACCCACAUAUAACACUGAUAAUUUAUCCAGCCUCUUUUCAUGUUCUUUUGUUAAGCUGUGAUCCUCUGAAAACCUAGCCAGAAGCAUACAUAUUACAUGACAAAUCAAAUCUCUCAAAGGCAUGUUUAAACAAAGCACUGCAGCCUUCACACUUCCUGUCAGUGAAAAUACUUUAUAUCCCCCUUUUUAUUUACACAAAGUAGUAGAGGGAGCAGAUAUAAAUCUCAUUGCCUUCUAGCCCUUUCGUCACUGUGUGAGAGAUGCAGAAACAAGAUGAAACAUUGUGCAAAUAAAUUGUAAAUUUAAGACGCACGCCCUGUCUGGCAGAAUGCUACAGGGCAUGAGGUGAGGGAUAAACACACAGGGGACACACAACACAUGCUUAAGGAAGGGUUUGGUAAAGUAAAGCCAAAUAAAGUUUAAGGGAUAUUUGGGGCUGGGAUGAAAGUUGCCACGUCUCCCAAUAAUCAGUCCCUGAGACUCAGAAAGUGGAGUUCAAGAACUUAAUGGAGGUGCAUAGCAGGCCAGGGGGUAGAGUUUUGGGCGCAGUCUGGAGACACUCACCCCGUGAGCCAGAAGAUGAUCAAAGACAGGUUCACAAGUAACAGUACUUCUGGGCAGACACACCUUUUCAAGUGACACAUCCAUUCACUGCAUUCCAUGACAGAAAGUAGGCUAGUAGCAGUAACUGAGUGACUGUUUAAGUGCCCUCAAGUCGGUGUUGACUCUUAGCGACCACAUAGAUAGAUUCUCUCCAGGAUGGUCUGUCUGUCUUCAACUUGGCCUUUAAGGUCUCUCAGUGGUGCAUUCAUUGCUGUCGUAAUCGAGUCCAUCCACCUUGCUGCUAGUAAUAGUGGUUAUUAUAAUUAUAAGUACUAUUAUUAAUCUUGAUCAUAGUUUUAACAUAAUAUGCUUCUAGCAUUUUGUAAUUUGUUUUAUAUUUUAUAUAUUUUAGCCACCUUGUUUUUAUAUUUUAAACAUUUUAAAGAUAGAUGCUUACUACUCUGAAUAUAAUCUUAGUAAUUUUAUAGCUUUGCUUUUUCAUAUCCUUAUCUUGCUACAACUGUUUUGAGCUGCAGUAGUAGUUUUAUGGCAUCUUGAUAGUAAUUUUAACAUAAUAUGCUCUUAUUGCUUUGCUGUUUGUUUUAUCUUAAUGUAAUGUCUCAUAAUUUGCUAUCUUAUGUUGGUCUCUCUUGGACCAUAAUAAAGAUGAUUUUUUAUUAAUUAUACUACUA